GACGAACGCUGGCGGCGUGCUUAACACAUGCAAGUCGAACGAUGAAGCUAGAGCUUGCUCUGGUGAAUUAGUGGCGAACGGGUGAGUAACACGUGAGUAACCUGCCCCGAACUCUGGGAUAACUGCUGGAAACGGUAGCUAAUACUGGAUACGACCUACGAAGGCAUCUUCUGUAGGUGGAAAGAAUUUCGGUUCGGGAUGGACUCGCGGCCUAUCAGCUUGUUGGUGAGGUAAUGGCUCACCAAGGCGACGACGGGUAGCCGGCCUGAGAGGGUGACCGGCCACACUGGGACUGAGACACGGCCCAGACUCCUACGGGAGGCAGCAGUGGGGAAUAUUGCACAAUGGGCGCAAGCCUGAGGCAGCAACGCCGCGUGAGGGAUGACGGCCUUCGGGUUGUAAACCUCUUUUAGUAGGGAAGAAGCGAAGGUGACGGUACCUGCAGAAAAAGCACCGGCUAACUACGUGCCAGCCGCCGCGGUAA
rnacentral:rRNA from 1 species